CUGAGUAGCGUCUGACUCUGCGCGUGCCAGGCUCUGUAGUGCCGACGCUGCUGUCGCCGCGGCGCAGCGCCAGGCGUGACCCCGUCCUUGCGCUGCACUAUGCCGCGCUCGAACGCAGCCCGGCCUGCGCGCGCUCCGCGCACGCGCCAAGUACUAUUAUGGCAGGCUGUCGGCCGGCCGGUGGCAGUGCCAGGUCGCCAUCAGCGGAUGGUGACCCGCUUAGCCUGCCGCGAAUUCGGCUGCAGCUUGCCCAGCGCUACGUAAUGACUCUCUCUUCACGUGCUGCGGCUGCCUGACUCUGCCUGCGCUGGGCACGGCGCGGUGUCGUGGGUGCUCCCCCCUCCGCGCUGUAGCUCCGCGCGCGGGCAUGCGGCAGCCUACAGCUACUUAGAGAGGCAAGCAAGUAAGCUCAAAGCGUCCAAA
rnacentral:rRNA from 1 species